GGAGGUACAGCUCAGUGGUAGUGCGUGUGCUUAGCAUGCACGAGGUCCUGGGUUCAAUCCCCAGUCCCUCCA
rnacentral:tRNA from 1 species